rnacentral:rRNA from 1 species
CGUGGAGACAGGUGGUGCAUGGCUGUCGUCAGCUCGUGUCGUGAGAUGUUGCGUUAAGUCCCGCAACGAGCGCAACCCUCACCCCUAGUUGCCACCGGGUAAAGCCGAGCACUCGAGGGGAACUGCCAGCGUCAAGCUGGAGGAAGGCGGGGAUGACGUCAAGUCAUCAUGCCCCUUACGCCCUGGGCUACACACGUGCUACAAUGGCCAGUACAAAGGGACGCGAGACCGCGAGGUGGAGCUAAUCCCAAAAAACUGGCCUAAGUUCAGAUUGCAGUCUGCAACUCGACUGCAUGAAGGAGGAAUCGCCAGUAAUCGCGCAUCAGCCCGGCGCGGUGAAUACGUUCCCGGGCCUUGUACACACCGCCCGUCACACCACGAAAGCUGUCUGUACUCGAAGUCGCUGAG